AGUGAACGCUGGCGGUAGGCCUAACACAUGCAAGUCGAACGGCAGCACAGUAAGAGCUUGCUCUUACGGGUGGCGAGUGGCGGACGGGUGAGGAAUACAUCGGAAUCUACUUUUUCGUGGGGGAUAACGUAGGGAAACUUACGCUAAUACCGCAUACGACCUACGGGUGAAAGCAGGGGAUCUUCGGACCUUGCGCGAUUGAAUGAGCCGAUGUCGGAUUAGCUAGUUGGCGGGGUAAAGGCCCACCAAGGCGACGAUCCGUAGCUGGCCUGAGAGGAUGAUCCGCCACACUGGAACUGAGACACGGUCCAGACUCCGACGGGAGGCAGCAGUGGGGAAUAUUGGACAAUGGGCGCAAGCCUGAUCCAGCCAUACCGCGUGGGUGCAGAAGGCCUUCGGGUUGUAAAGCCCUUUUGUUGGGAAAGAAAAGCAGCAGGUUAAUACCCCGCUGUUCUGACGGUACCCAAAGAAUAAGCACCGGCUAACUUCGU
rnacentral:rRNA from 1 species